UAGCUCAGUUGGUAGAGCGCUCCACCUGUAACGGAGAGGUCCCGGGUUCGAUACCCGG
rnacentral:tRNA from 1 species